AUUGAACGCUGGCGGCAGGCCUAACACAUGCAAGUCGAGCGGAUGAAGGGAGCUUGCUCCUGGAUUCAGCGGCGGACGGGUGAGUAAUGCCUAGGAGUCUGCCUGGUAGUGGGGGAUAACGUCCGGAAACGGGCGCUAAUACCGCAUACGUCCUGAGGUAGAAAGUGGGGGAUCUUCGGACCUCACGCUAUCAGAUGAGCCUAGGUCGGAUUAGCUAGUUGGUGGGGUAAAGGCCUACCAAGGCGACGAUCCGUAACUGGUCUGAGAGGAUGAUCAGUCACACUGGAACUGAGACACGGUCCAGACUCCUACGGGAGGCAGCAGUGGGGAAUAUUGGACAAUGGGCGAAAGCCUGAUCCAGCCAUGCCGCGUGUGUGAAGAAGGUCUUCGGAUUGUAAAGCACUUUAAGUUGGGAGGAAGGGCAGUAAGUUAAUACCUUGCUGUUUUGACGUUACCAACAGAAUAAGCACCGGCUAACUUCGUG
rnacentral:rRNA from 1 species